UACGGGGGGGGCAAGCGUUGUUCGGAAUUACUGGGCGUAAAGGGCUCGUAGGCGGCCAACUAAGUCAGACGUGAAAUCCCUCGGCUUAACCGGGGAACUGCGUCUGAUACUGGAUGGCUAGAGGUUGGGAGAGGGAUGCGGAAUUCCAGGUGUAGCGGUGAAAUGCGUAGAUAUCUGGAGGAACACCGGUGGCGAAGGCGGCAUCCUGGACCAAUUCUGACGCUGAUGAGCGAAAGCCAGGGGAGCAAACCGG
rnacentral:rRNA from 1 species